rnacentral:lncRNA from 12 species
ACUUAUUAUCCCUUUUCUCUAUAAACAGCUGCUGAUGCGCCCCUUACUAGGGAUUCAGAGCCUGCCCAAGUAGCAUGUCGCCUCACUGCAUGACAUCAAAUGACACGUGAAUGGUGAUAGUGACCUGAGGACAGAAGAUCCCUAGGAGAAUUGUUUUCACGUUGUGUUUGAGAAGCACAGCUGUGGCAGAUGUACGAGCAAAGGGCUCUGCGAACUCAUAGGAGGGAACAGCUAUCUUCAAAAAGACAAUGGCUGGAAAGCUAUAUCAAAGCCUGAAGGCAGCAUAUGAUGAGACAUUGUCCACAUCAGCUUACCUCUUCACAAAGGUACUGCAGAUCCUGAAAAGAAUGGUGAAGAAAGGGCCGGGGGACAUGGUGAUUAAGAAGCUCUCCGGACGCCUGAGUGGCUCAGCCGUUGAAUGUCUAACUUCUGCUCAAGGUGUGAUCCAAGGGCCCCUGAUCCAGUAGCAUAUCCAGCUCCCUGUGGAGAGCCUGUUUCUCCAUCUGUCUAUGUCUCUGCCUCCCUCUCAGUGUCUCUCAUGAAUAAAUAAAUAAAACCUUAAAAAAAAAAAGGAAGU